rnacentral:rRNA from 1 species
GGGUUGUGAGGUUAAGCGACUAAGCGUACACGGUGGAUGCCCUGGCAGUCAGAGGCGAUGAAGGACGUGCUAAUCUGCGAAAAGCGUCGGUAAGGUGAUAUGAACCGUUAUAACCGGCGAUGUCCGAAUGGGGAAACCCAGUGUGAUUCGUCACACUAUCGUUAACUGAAUACAUAGGUUAACGAGGCGAACCGGGGGAACUGAAACAUCUAAGUACCCCGAGGAAAAGAAAUCAACCGAGAUUCCCCCAGUAGCGGCGAGCGAACGGGGAGCAGCCCAGAGUCUGAAUCAGCUUGUGUGUUAGUGGAACGGUCUGGAAAGUCCGACGGUACAGGGUGAUAGUCCCGUACACCAAAAUGCACAGGCUGUGAACUCGAAGAGUAGGGCGGGACACGUGGUAUCCUGUCUGAAUAUGGGGGGACCAUCCUCCAAGGCUAAAUACUCCUGACUGACCGAUAGUGAACCAGUACCGUGAGGGAAAGGCGAAAAGAACCCCGGCGAGGGGAGUGAAAAAGAACCUGAAACCGUGUACGUACAAGCAGUGGGAGCACCUUCGGGUGUGACUGCGUACCUUUUGUAUAAUGGGUCAGCGACUUAUAUUCUGUAGCAAGGUUAACCGUAUAGGGGAGCCGCAGGGAAACCGAGUCUUAACUGGGCGUUAAGUUGCAGGGUAUAGACCCGAAACCCGGUGAUCUAGCCAUGGGCAGGUUGAAGGUUGGGUAACACUAACUGGAGGACCGAACCGACUAAUGUUGAAAAAUUAGCGGAUGACUUGUGGCUGGGGGUGAAAGGCCAAUCAAACCGGGAGAUAGCUGGUUCUCCCCGAAAGCUAUUUAGGUAGCGCCUCGUGAACUCAUCUUCGGGGGUAGAGCACUGUUUCGGCUAGGGGGUCAUCCCGACUUACCAACCCGAUGCAAACUACGAAUACCGAAGAAUGUUAUCACGGGAGACACACGGCGGGUGCUAACGUCCGUCGUGAAGAGGGAAACAACCCAGACCGCCAGCUAAGGUCCCAAAGUCAUGGUUAAGUGGGAAACGAUGUGGGAAGGCACAGACAGCCAGGAUGUUGGCUUAGAAGCAGCCAUCAUUUAAAGAAAGCGUAAUAGCUCACUGGUCGAGUCGGCCUGCGCGGAAGAUGUAACGGGGCUAAACCAUGCACCGAAGCUGCGGCAGCGACACUAUGUGUUGUUGGGUAGGGGAGCGUUCUGUAAGCCUGCGAAGGUGACCUGUGAGGGUUGCUGGAGGUAUCAGAAGUGCGAAUGCUGACAUAAGUAACGAUAAAGCGGGUGAAAAGCCCGCUCGCCGGAAGACCAAGGGUUCCUGUCCAACGUUAAUCGGGGCAGGGUGAGUCGACCCCUAAGGCGAGGCCGAAAGGCGUAGUCGAUGGGAAACAGGUUAAUAUUCCUGUACUUGGUGUUACUGCGAAGGGGGGACGGAGAAGGCUAUGUUAGCCGGGCGACGGUUGUCCCGGUUUAAGCAUGUAGGCUGAUUAUCCAGGCAAAUCCGGAUAAUCAAGGCUGAGGUGUGAUGACGAGGCACUACGGUGCUGAAGUAACAAAUGCCCUGCUUCCAGGAAAAGCCUCUAAGCAUCAGGUAACAUCAAAUCGUACCCCAAACCGACACAGGUGGUCAGGUAGAGAAUACCAAGGCGCUUGAGAGAACUCGGGUGAAGGAACUAGGCAAAAUGGUGCCGUAACUUCGGGAGAAGGCACGCUGGUGUGUAGGUGAAGUCCCUGCGGAUGGAGCUGAGACCAGUCGAAGAUACCAGCUGGCUGCAACUGUUUAUUAAAAACACAGCACUGUGCAAACACGAAAGUGGACGUAUACGGUGUGACGCCUGCCCGGUGCCGGAAGGUUAAUUGAUGGGGUUAUCCGUAAGGAGAAGCUCUUGAUCGAAGCCCCGGUAAACGGCGGCCGUAACUAUAACGGUCCUAAGGUAGCGAAAUUCCUUGUCGGGUAAGUUCCGACCUGCACGAAUGGCGUAAUGAUGGCCAGGCUGUCUCCACCCGAGACUCAGUGAAAUUGAACUCGCUGUGAAGAUGCAGUGUACCCGCGGCAAGACGGAAAGACCCCGUGAACCUUUACUAUAGCUUGACACUGAACAUUGAGCCUUGAUGUGUAGGAUAGGUGGGAGGCUUUGAAGCGUGGACGCCAGUCUGCGUGGAGCCAACCUUGAAAUACCACCCUUUAAUGUUUGAUGUUCUAACGUUGGCCCCUGACCGGGGUUGCGGACAGUGUCUGGUGGGUAGUUUGACUGGGGCGGUCUCCUCCCAAAGCGUAACGGAGGAGCACGAAGGUUAGCUAAUCCUGGUCGGACAUCAGGAGGUUAGUGCAAUGGCAUAAGCUAGCUUGACUGCGAGCGUGACGGCGCGAGCAGGUGCGAAAGCAGGUCAUAGUGAUCCGGUGGUUCUGAAUGGAAGGGCCAUCGCUCAACGGAUAAAAGGUACUCCGGGGAUAACAGGCUGAUACCGCCCAAGAGUUCAUAUCGACGGCGGUGUUUGGCACCUCGAUGUCGGCUCAUCACAUCCUGGGGCUGAAGUAGGUCCCAAGGGUAUGGCUGUUCGCCAUUUAAAGUGGUACGCGAGCUGGGUUUAGAACGUCGUGAGACAGUUCGGUCCCUAUCUGCCGUGGGCGCUGGAGAAUUGAGGGGGGCUGCUCCUAGUACGAGAGGACCGGAGUGGACGCAUCACUGGUGUUCGGGUUGUCAUGCCAAUGGCACUGCCCGGUAGCUAAAUGCGGAAGAGAUAAGUGCUGAAAGCAUCUAAGCACGAAACUUGCCCCGAGAUGAGUUCUCCCUGAGACUUUAAGUCUCCUGAAGGAACGUUAAAGACGAUGACGUUGAUAGGCCGGGUGUGUAAGCGCAGCGAUGCGUUGAGCUAACCGGUACUAAUGAACCGUGAGGCUUAACCUUACAACGCCGAAG